ACGGGAGGCGCAGUGGGGAAUAUUGCACAAUGGGCGAAAGCCUGAUGCAGCGACGCCGCGUGAGUGAAGAAGUAUCUCGGUAUGUAAAGCUCUAUCAGCAGGGAAGAAAAUGACGGUACCUGACUAAGGAGCCCCGGCUAACUACGUGCCAGCAGCCGCGGUAAUACGUAGGGGGCAAGCGUUAUCCGGAUUUACUGGGUGUAAAGGGAGCGUAGACGGUUUGGCAAGUCUGAAGUGAAAUGCGGGGGCUCAACUCCUGAACUGCUUUGGAAACUGUCGAACUAGAGUGCAGGAGAGGUAAGUGGAAUUCCUAGUGUAGCGGUGAAAUGCGUAGAUAUUAGGAGGAACACCAGUGGCGAAGGCGGCUUACUGGACUGUAACUGACGUUGAGGCUCGAAAGCGUGGGGAGCAAACAGGAUUAGAUACCCUGGUA
rnacentral:rRNA from 1 species